CUGCAGUAAUACAGUUAAACAUUAAGUUACCGCCUGGGAGUACGGUCGCAAGAUUAAACUCAAAGGAAUAGACGGGACCCGCACAAGCGGUGGAGCAUGUGGUUUAAUUCGAAGAUACGCGAAAAACCUUACCUGGCCUUGACAUUGAUAGAAUCCUGUAGAGAUACGGGAGUGCCGGCUUGCCGGAACUUGAAAACAGGUGCUGCACGGCUGUCGUCAGCUCGUGUCGUGAGAUGUUGGGUUAAGUCCCGCAACGAGCGCAACCCACGUCCUUAGUUGCCAGCAUUUCGGAUGGGAACUCUAAGGAGACUGCCUUCGCAAGGAGGGGGAAGGUGUGGACGACGUCAAGUCAUCAUGGCCCUUACGGCCAGGGCUACACACGUGCUACAAUGGGGCGUACAAAGAGCAGCAAUACCGCGAGGUGGAGCAAAUCUCAAAAACGCCUCCCAGUUCAGAUUGCACUCUGCAACUCGAGUGCAUGAAGUUGGGAUCGCUAGUAAUCGUAGAUCAGCAUUGCUACGGUGAAUACGUUCCCGGGUCUUGUACUCACCGCCCGUCACACCAUGGGAGUUGAUUUCACCCGAAGCGGGGAUGCUAAAGUAGCUACCUUUCUACGGUGGAAUCAGCGAC
rnacentral:rRNA from 1 species